CCAGAGAACUUUCCAGAGAUGGAUUGGUGCCUUCGGGAACUCUGAGACAGGUGCUGCAUGGCUGUCGUCAGCUCGUGUUGUGAAAUGUUGGGUUAAGUCCCGNAACGAGCGCAACCCUUAUCCUUUGUUGCCAGCGGUUAGGCCGGGAACUCAAAGGAGACUGCCAGUGAUAAACUGGAGGAAGGUGGGGAUGACGUCAGGUCAUCAUGGCCCUUACGAGUAGGGCUACACACGUGCUACAAUGGCGCAUACAAAGAGAAGCGACCUCGCGAGAGCAAGCGGACCUCAUAAAGUGCGUCGUAGUCCGGAUUGGAGUCUGCAACUCGACUCCAUGAAGUCGGAAUCGCUAGUAAUCGUGGAUCAGAAUGCCACGGUGAAUACGUUCCCGGGCCUUGUACACACCGCCCGUCACACCAUGGGAGUGGGUUGCAAAAGAAGUAGGUAGCUUAACCUUCGGGAGGGCGCUUACCACUUUGUGAUUCAUGACUGGGGUGAAGUCGUAACAAGGUAAGCGUAGUGCU
rnacentral:rRNA from 1 species